rnacentral:rRNA from 1 species
UACGUAGGGCGCGAGCGUUGUCCGGAUUCAUUGGGCGUAAAGGGUGCGUAGGCGGCGCGGUAAGUCGGGUGUGAAAACCCCAGGCUCAACCUGGGGACGCACCCGAUACUGCUAUAGCUAGAGUCCAGUAGGGGAGUGUGGAAUUCCCAGUGUAGCGGUGAAAUGCGCAGAUAUCAGGAGGAACACCGGUGGUGUAGACGGCUUUCUGGACCGUAACUGACGCUGAGACACGAAAGCGUGGGUAGCAAACAGG